GUUGUGACGGGGAUUUUAUGAUUUUUUUGUUGGUGGAAACUGAACAUGGAGAUCUCUUGUUAAUGUUGUUAUUACGGUCGUCUUUGCUGGUUUCUAAAUUAGAAGGGAUGGUGUUGAUUUGCCUCCUCUCGUUUGCUCAGUUCUCCUACGGUUCUUGUAGGUAGAAUGAUGUCUGGACAUCUGGGGACUACAUGUCGUUGUUGUGGACUGGCUUGGCAGCGAGGGUGGGACUCGCGCCUUCUUACCUUUUUAAUGAAAUAAAUAAGACAACUCAAUUUGCUGGUUGGAACAAGGAUUGUAAUGUAAUGUAAUGUUUCUUUUCUUUUUGAUCGUAAAAUAUUAGUGCAUAAAUCAUACAGAUUAAUAAUAGAUAACAUUAUCAAUUGACAAUAAUACAUGCAUUUCUAUCUCAAAUAUUGCUCGAAUUAAACAUAUUAUAUUUAUUGAAUUAUUUCCUAUUAAUUUGCAAUUAAUUAAUUUCAUUUAAUUACUUUAAGUAACAUUAUAUAACUUACCUUUUUAAUGAAAUAAAUAAGACAACUCAAUUUGCUGGUUGGAACAAGGAUUGUAAUGUAAUGUACGGGCAGUAGACUUAUAUUUGCUUUUAUAGUCACUAUUCAUUACCCGACAUUCCUGUUCCCCAGACAAGAUUGAGCCUCUUUUGCAAACGAUGGAAAGUGUUGCCAAAACAUUUAUUGCUUCAUAAUAUGCAAAAUGUAUUUAUUUGUUUUUGAAAAGCAUUUGGACUUUUAUUUCUCAAAUUAAAUAAAAUAAUAUUUUUGAAGAAUUUCAAUUUCUGAUCUUUAUAAUAAUUGAUAAUUAAAGAUGUUAAAUUUUAAUUAAUAUCUUGUGUACGUCAAUCUUCGUAUCUAAACUUUUUGAUUGGUUAUUAAUAGCAUUCUUGUGUGCCUAAAUGUAUUACUGAAUAUUCAUGAUGCUGUAGUAUCUACAAAUUCUGUGAAUAUGGUUAUAACCUUGGAUGUAGUAUCAAUUCGACAUACAUCUGUCCGUCGACCUAGUAACCUUCUAAACGCGUGCCAAAUAACUAAUGAGGUUCUUGACUUGUGCUAUUUUUGCUUAUCUUGCAUCUUACAUAACGUAUGUUUCU
rnacentral:lncRNA from 1 species